rnacentral:rRNA from 1 species
UGGGGGAUAUUGCACAAUGGGCGAAAGCCUGAUGCAGCGACGCCGCGUGGGGGAUGAAGGCUUUCGGGUUGUAAACCUCUUUCGCUAUCGAACAAGGCCCGCUUAGGGUGGGUUGAGGGUAGGUGGAGACGAAGCGCCGGCUAACUACGUGCCAGCAGCCGCGGUAAUACGUAGGGCGCGAGCGUUGUCCGGAAUUAUUGGGCGUAAAGGGCUUGUAGGCGGCUUGUUGCGCCUGCUGUGAAAACGCGGGGCUUAACUUCGCGCGUGCAGUGGGUACGGGCAGGCUUGAGUGUGGUAGGGGUGACUGGAAUUCCAGGUGUAGCGGUGGAAUGCGCAGAUAUCUGGAGGAACACCGAUGGCGAAGGCAGGUCACUGGGCCAUUACUGACGCUGAGGAGCGAAAGCAUGGGUAGCGAACAGG